rnacentral:rRNA from 1 species
UACGUAGGGUGCAAGCGUUAAUCGGAAUUACUGGGCGUAAAGCGUGCGUAGACGGUUAUUUAAGUCGGGUGUGAAAGCCCCGGGCUCAACCUGGGAAUUGCAUUCGAGACUGAAUAGCUAGGGUACGGUAGAGGGAAGUGGAAUUUCCGGUGUAGCGGUGAAAUGCGUAGAUAUCGGAAGGAACAUCAGUGGCGAAAGCGACUUCCUGG